rnacentral:tRNA from 1 species
AACGACUAGUCUAACUCAAGACACCUAAUUUCGACUUAGGAAACCCCNAAMCMAAAUUGGGGUCGGUA